CAGGGAGACAACAAAAUGUUUAAUAUUAUUAUUUUGUCACCUUAGGUCGAUCGGUAUCUCAUGUUCUUAAUUUUAUUAAGAAUUUCAUUUCCUAAGUUUUUCUAGGUCACACCCAUUAUUUUUCCUGGGCCAUUAGCUCAGGUGGUUAGAGCGCACCCCUGAUAAGGGUGAGGUCCCUGGUUCAAGUCCAGGAUGGCCCAUAUCUCUAUGUUGGGGGUAUAGCUCAGUUGGUAGAGCGCCUGCUUUGCAAGCAGGAUGUCAGCGGUUCGAGUCCGCUUACCUCCACUGAUUACCACCUCUUCCAUAACAGGUAGAUAGGAAAUGUUUUGAGUAGUGAUCUAAUUCUGAAAGAAUCUAGCUUCCUAAUGAAAUCAUUAAGACGCUGGACUCAUUGAAUUGAUUUCAUUGUUUUCAGAGAACCUUGACAACUGCAUAGAUUAUUUUUAAAGACAAUAAGCAUCUUUAAUGAUGCAGAUUUAUUAUUUGUGCGAAUGCAUUAAUAACAAUUCUAUUAAGCUGAUGCUUCAAUUUUUGAAGUUAUU
rnacentral:tRNA from 1 species